rnacentral:misc_RNA from 1 species
AGAAGAAUAAAAUAAUAAAAUAACCACGGUUUAAGGCUAAAGAGAAACCAUGACGACUGGGAUUAUAGGUCCUAUCGACACACGCGGUAUGCAUGUUGCUAAAAUGAACUAACGUUUGCGUGUUUCUAAUAAUAAUAAUAAUAAUAGUGGUGGUGGUAGUGGCGGUGGUGGUGGUGGUAGCGUUAAUGGUAGCAGUAGUAGUAAUAAUAGCGAGACUAAUAUAUAGCUGAGGAAAUGUCAGUGGUAAAAUGGUAGUGGAGGGAGGAUGAUAGUAUUAGUAGGAGUAGUAGUACUAAUAGUGUAGUAGUGGUAGUAAUAGUAGUGAUGGUGGUAGUAGCAGUAGUAGUAGUCGUGGUAGUAGUAAUAGUAGUAGUAGUAGCAGUAGUAAUAAUAGUAGUAGUAGUAGUAGUAGUAGUAGUAGUAGUAGUAGUAGUAGUAGUAGUAGUAGUAGUAGUAGUAGUAGUAUAAGUAGUAGUAGUAGUAGUAGUAGUAGUAGUAGUAGUAGUAGUAGUAGUAGUAGUAGUAGUAAUAGUAAUAGUAGUAGUAGUAGUAGUAGUAGUAGUAGUAGUAGUAGUAGUAGUAGUAGUAGUAGUAGUAAUAGUAUUAGUAACGGUAAUGUUCCUGUUUUUUAUAUUUGUUUGUUUGUAAAAGUAAUAGUAGGGUGUCUACCAAACACCUUCGGUAGAGACCAAUGUCCUUUAAAUUCUGAUAGCUACAUCGCUCCGUGACAUUGCUUUCUUUUUUUUUUAUAUUUCCUCAUUUUGAUAUCAUCAAAAUAGUAAACCAAUAGUUUAAACAUUGUAGUUAAUAAUUACUAUCUAUAUCACAGAUCCAAGUGACUAAACUCCUUUAAAAAUAUAAUAUAAAUAUGUGUAUGUGUAAUGGUUCGCGCAUAAUAUAUAUACACACAUAGAUAUAUAUAUAUGUAUAUGUACUCGCAGAUGUGAUUGGAAAACAGGUAAAUCAAGAAGUGCGGAAACUUGGAAAAACUCGCGUAGAAACGUACGCGCGCGCGCGUUAGUUUAUGCUAACAUCGAUAUACCACGACAGAUUGGUAAAAACAAGGAAAAUCGUACGAUCGUGGAAACGAAUCGAUUCGUCGAUCGUGUGGUGCACGUCUCUUUGAACGGUGCUAUUUCAUUCUCGUUAAAAUACGCUUAUCAGCGUCCGUAUUUAGAUAAUCCAUUAAAUGGACCGAGAAGUAUGUGAGUGAGAUAGACACGUGCAAAACGGUAAUCAAUUCACAAUUGAUCCACUCCAUUGUUAAAAGAUCGAAAUAAAAAUUAGUCGGUGCGUAAAAAUUGUUUAAUAUCAACGAUUAAUCGACGAUUGUGAUUAAGCAUCCGUCAUGAUCCAGAAAGUGGAUGCUCUUUAGGCACUUUGUUCAACCAGCACCAUUAAACGAGACGCGAUCAAAGAGUCCGCGUUUCGGGCGAAUCGUCACUCCGUUCGUGGUAAAAAUCGUGAUUGCUGGCAUAAACUGACUUACUCAUUGUUGCGUUGAAUAUAUUCGGGGUACGGGGUGGGAGAGCUGCUUGUAGUGUUCGAGUACUGAGCGUAGAGAUACAGAGCAGGGUGAAGCCCUGGCGGAGGAAUGCCGCGAUGCAGUUGCUGCGAUUGAUGAUGCGACUCCGAUGAAUCUAUGGGGGAUGACGAUAUUUGCGGAUAAAGUUGGGAGUUGAGGCUAUCCAGCGAACUGGAGGAGCCUGUCGUUUGGUAGACACUCU